UACGUAGGGGGCUAGCGUUGUCUGGAAUCAUUGGGCGUAAAGAGCGUGUAGGCGGCUCGGUAAGUCCGCUGUGAAAGUCCAGGGCUCAACCCUGGAAUGCCAGUGGAAACUGUCGAGCUAGAGUCCGGAAGAGGCGAGUGGAAUUCCUGGUGUAGCGGUGAAAUGCGCAGAUAUCAGGAGGAACACCAAUGGCGAAGGCAGCUCGCUGGGACGGUACUGACGCUGAGACGCGAAAGCGUGGGGAGCAAACAGG
rnacentral:rRNA from 1 species